rnacentral:rRNA from 1 species
CACGUAGGGCGCAAGCGUUGUCCGGAAUUAUUGGGCGUAAAGAGCUCGUAGGCGGUCUGUUGCGUCCGCUGUGAAAACUCGGGGCUUAACCCCGAGCCUGCAGUGGAUACGGGCAGACUAGAGGUAGGUAGGGGAGAAUGGAAUUCCCGGUGUAGCGGUGAAAUGCGCAGAUAUCGGGAGGAACACCGGUGGCGAAGGCGGUUCUCUGGGCCUUACCUGACGCUGAGGAGCGAUAGCGUGGGGAGCGAACAGG